CUCUGACUGGAGAUCCCUGGGUCACAAGCUUAUUCCUGACUUGGGGGGUGGGGCCAAAUGCUCUAAGUGUGUAGAAGGGAGAGUUCACCCCCCACAGAAAGAAAACUGGAUUGUUGCUACCAGAAGGAGAAGGGGUCAAUGUAGGCAGAAAACAACAGAUGCCCAUGUCUUCCAAGACCACAGAUCUGCGCACUGUCGCCUCUAGAGGGACACUCAGGAAGACAUCCAGCAAGCCCUCUAAGCAGGGGCUUAGGUCUUGGGCUUCCCUGCUGGCUCAGCUGGUAAAGAAUCCGCCUGCAAUGUGGGAGACCUGGGUUUGAUCCCUGGGUUGGGAAGAUCUCCGGAAGAAGGGAACAGCUAUCCACUCAAGUAUUCUGGCCUGCAGAAGUCCGUGGACUGUAUGUAUAGUCCAUGGGGUCGCAAAGAGUCUGACGCGACUGAGCAACUUUCACUUAGGCUUGGAUAGCGGCUUCCGUGGGCUCCUGGCUCUCCAGAGCCAUGUUCUCAGGUUCUCAGCUCCCUGCUUCUGGAAAUUUGUCGUUGUCAGUCUAGCUAGAUGAUUCUCCCCACCGGGCCUGGCUCGCGCCAGCCUGACUCGGCAGAGGCUGAUGUGUAUCUAAACCCCAUCUCGGAGGGAACAGCAAUUGCCAAAGGACCUGAGCAGGGCUGUCUCCUGGUCAGUGCACUUUCCCUGUCGAAGACCACAAGGGAAGCCAGACUCUCAUCACAGGGUUGCUUAGCGACCACAGAACCAGGCAAGAGAAGUUCUCCGGAGAAAGUCAGUGACUUUAAAACGCCCACAGAUGCUAGAAGAAUGAGGAGACGACACGUUACCCGCAGAGAGACAGCAUCACGACUGGCGUCUCCCGCCCAGUCUUCCUUGCGACUCAUCGCUUCUUCUGUCCAUCCACGUCUGUCUCCGCUGGAAGGUAACUCCGGGGAGCCUGGACCGGCAGGAUCACGGUAAGGAACACCCGCUGAAUGAGCCUCUGUCCGAGCAGGGGCCCCGCCCGUCCCAGACUCUCCCCUCGGCCUCCACCCCCGGGUUUUCACCCUGUCUCAGGAUGCAGAUAUCUUUCUCGGUCUCCGUCCCUCUUCCGGUUUCUAUCCGGGCGUCGAGGCCUCAAGUUCGUGUGGACCGCGCACGCGCAAAGGCCAGGUCCGG
ensembl:lncRNA